rnacentral:rRNA from 1 species
UGAUCCUGGCUCAGAAUUGAACGCUGGCGGCAGGCUUAACACAUGCAAGUCGAACGGUAACAGGAGAGAGCUUGCUUUCUUGCUGACGAGUGGCGGACGGGUGAGUAAUGCUUGGGAAUCUGGCUUAUGGAGGGGGAUAACGACGGGAAACUGUCGCUAAUACCGCGUAGAGUCGAGAGACGAAAGUGCGGGACCGCAAGGCCGCAUGCCAUAGGAUGAGCCCAAGUGGGAUUAGGUAG